rnacentral:rRNA from 1 species
ACCUGCAGUCGAACGAUGAAGCCCAGCUUGCUGGGUGGAUUAGUGGCGAACGGGUGAGUAACACGUGGGUGAUCUGCCCCAAACUUUGGGAUAAGCCUGGGAAACUGGGUCUAAUACCGAAUAUGACCUUCUCCUGCAUGGGGGUUGGUGGAAAGCUCCGGCGGUUUGGGAUGGGCCCGCGGCCUAUCAGCUUGUUGGUGGGGUAAUGGCCUACCAAGGCGACGACGGGUAGCCGGCCUGAGAGGGCGACCGGCCACACUGGGACUGAGACACGGCCCAGACUCCUACGGGAGGCAGCAGUGGGGAAUAUUGCACAAUGGGCGCAAGCCUGAUGCAGCGACGCCGCGUGAGGGAUGACGGCCUUCGGGUUGUAAACCUCUUUCACCAGGGACGAAGCGUAAGUGACGGUACCUGGAGAAGAAGCACCGGCCAACUACGUGCCAGCAGCCGCGGUAAUACGUAGGGUGCGAGCGUUGUCCGGAAUUACUGGGCGUAAAGAGCUCGUAGGCGGUUUGUCGCGUCGUUCGUGAAAACUUGGGGCUUAACUCCAAGCGUGCGGGCGAUACGGGCAGACUUGAGUACUACAGGGGAGACUGGAAUUCCUGGUGUAGCGGUGAAAUGCGCAGAUAUCAGGAGGAACACCGGUGGCGAAGGCGGGUCUCUGGGUAGUAACUGACGCUGAGGAGCGAAAGCGUGGGUAGCGAACAGGAUUAGAUACCCUGGUAGUCCACGCCGUAAACGGUGGGUACUAGGUGUGGGGCUCA